AUUUUCUUUUAAUGGAAGCAACAGCCUCGGAAAAGCCUCGCCUCCUCCUUUUCGCGCGUUAACGCGGAAGUGUAUCAAAGUGUUUCAUACUUUUCAUAGCUCUUUCAUCGGCGGCUUUGACGACCGUUGUGAAUUUUCCCCAAUGGCGCAUGCACGGCUCAGCUGUGUGCGUUCGCGAUUUAUCCGCGCUGAAAGAUAAUGCUUUUUAUAGUAUUUUUAUCCGAUUAGACGGAGUGCUGGACACUGUGCUGGUGACGCUUAGGUACGUGGGACUUGAUUUUCCAUCGGUCGUCGUACGACCGAGCAUGGAAAAUGUAGGAGAAGGAGAGAAGUCUAUUGUGAUCUACUCGGGACGGGCACUUGCCGUAGAAUCCACCUAAGCACAACGAGCUUGCUGUCAGACGACUGUUGAUUUGUCGAUCGAAGAGUAUCUUGUCAUUUUCGCUGAGCUAUGUCUAUUACGACACAAGUUUCGAAUUUUUUCUUUCGUCACAAGGUAUACGCGUAAUAUCCUUCGUCGUACCUUCACGAAAAGAUCUAUCGUUGUGUAUUGUAUGUUACAUCGUAUUGGUAAUACGCAAGGGUGUUUUCCUCGUGUUUUUAUGAAGACUCCAUUUCGAGGAAGAAACGUUUUUCAGAAACGUACGAGCAAUGCUUUUCUCGAUUCGAACGUACCGUUUGCCUUUCAUCGUUCAGACGUGUCGUUACGAUAUCGGGUGUGCCAACGAGUCGUUGCACAUUGAAUGGAUACAUGUGUUUUUAAAAACUUUACAUCUUUAACUCGAUCAUUGUGACAUCAUAUCAAACUGAGUAAUGUAAUGGUGCUACGUUACUUAUGCCACGCAUCAAAUGGAAAAUGGACUAAUGCACCAAGGAACGAGUAUAUUGUUGUGGCAUCGUAGCCUUACCUCCUAACAGGAGAAAUGGAUAUAAUACGAGAUGAAGACAGGCGCAGGCGCCUGCGAUUGUUGGAGGAACGUAUAAAGGAUCCGAGAAGUGUAACAAACAUUGACAGUUUAUUAGAUACGGUCCAAGCGCUUGUAGCAGACUGUGAUCAUCCUGGUGUAAAACGUAUGAAGAAUAUAGAAGCCUAUAUGAAUAGAUAUGAUUCUGUGGCCCAAGAUAUUUGUAAAAUGCGAAUGCGUACCGACGACUUUACAUUGAUUAAAGUUAUAGGACGUGGUGCAUUUGGCGAAGUUCAACUAGUUAGACACAAAUCUACUCAAAAGGUGUACGCUAUGAAAUUACUCAGCAAAUUUGAAAUGAUAAAGCGUUCUGAUUCAGCCUUUUUUUGGGAAGAACGAGAUAUUAUGGCUCACGCAAAUUCACAGUGGAUAGUUCAACUACACUUUGCUUUUCAAGAUCAAAAGUAUCUCUACAUGGUAAUGGAUUACAUGCCAGGUGGAGAUUUAGUUAAUUUGAUGUCAAAUUAUGAUGUACCAGAGAAAUGGGCAAAGUUCUAUUGCGCCGAAGUAGUACUUGCUCUAGAUGCGAUACAUCGUAUGGGAUUUGUACAUCGAGAUGUCAAACCGGAUAAUAUGCUACUCGAUAAGCAUGGCCAUUUGAAACUCGCAGACUUUGGCACGUGUAUGAGAAUGGAUGCAGAUGGUUUGGUUCGUUCUGACACCGCGGUUGGCACACCUGAUUAUAUAUCACCUGAAGUACUCCAGUCACAGGGUGGAGAAGGUGUAUAUGGUAGGGAAUGCGAUUGGUGGUCCGUCGGUGUAUUUUUGUAUGAAAUGCUCGUUGGUGACACUCCCUUUUAUGCUGAUUCAUUAGUUGGGACAUAUUCAAAGAUCAUGGAUCAUAGAAAUUCACUACAUUUUCCUCAGGAGCUUAACAUUUCGCAUUAUGCAAAAAACUUGAUAUGUGGCUUUCUCACAGAUAGAACUAAGCGGCUAGGAAGAAACGGCGUGGAAGAAAUCAAAAGCCAUCCAUUUUUUAAAAAUGAUCAAUGGACUUUUGAUAACUUACGAGAAUGUGUACCACCGGUGGUACCUGAAUUAUCCGGAGACGAUGAUACUAGCAAUUUCGAUGAUGUCGAUAAAGAAGAUGGGCCAGAGGAAAGUUUUCCAGUACCAAAAGCAUUUUCUGGAAAUCAUUUGCCAUUCAUAGGUUUCACAUAUUCGGGCGAUUAUCAAUUAAUGGCUGCUAAUGGCAAAGAAUCUGUAGAUGGAUUAGAAAAUCAUAUAAAUAAUGGCACUAACGAUGAUGCCAAAAUCUCACAGUUAGAAAAUUUAUUAGAACGAGAGAGAAGGCAGAUAGAAUCUAUGGAAGCAAGACAGAGGGCUUUGUCUGUUCAGUUAGAGACCAUGACACGCAGAGAGACUGAAUUGCGUGAAGAAGCGGGAAGAGCGGACAAGGAAUUAACUUUAUUAAGACAUAAUUAUAAAGAAGCACAACGAAGAGUAGAACAUGAAACGGAAGCUCGUAGAAAGGCAGAAUCUUUACUAAUGGAAUUAAAAAAGAAAUUCGAUGAAGAACAAUCUAGGAGAGCACGAGAUGCAAGUAAUUCACAGCAGACGUUCGAACGUGUGAAUACGUUAGAGAAACAAAUUAAAGAAAUGCAAUCUAAAUUGGAAAGAGAAACAGAGACGGUAACGAGAUUACGAAAACAAGCUACUGAAAUUACCGUAGCUCGUCAAGCUGCAGAACAAAUGGCAAAUGAAUUGCAAAUUGCAAGAACUCAAUUACAAGCUCAACGCGAUAGUUUGCAGCAAGAAGUUGCCGCUUUGCAGGGUCAACUAUCGAAAGAACGUAGUUCCCGGUCACAGGCAUCGUCGUUAACAGUAGAACUCGAAACGCGUCUGUCCGCUUUACAUCUUGAAUUGGAACGUAGUCAUGAGAAAGAAGAGAAAGCUACUUUGGAUAAUAGGCAACUAAAUGAAAAAGUGUCCGAGUUAGAAAAAGAAACGGCAAGUUUAAUGCUCGAAUUAAAAGCUGCACAAGCUAGGUAUAAUCAAGAAGUAGUUGCGCAUCAAGAAACGGAAAGAUCACGUAUAUUGUCCAAGGAAGAAGCGAAUCUGGAAGUUGUUAAAGGACAACAUAAUGGAAUAUUCUCAGCUUUACAAGCAAAAUUGAAUGAAGAAAAGAGUGGUAGACAAAGAGCGGAAUUACUUGCACAAGAAAAGGAAAGACAGACUUCAAUGCUAUCUGUGGACUACAAGCAAAUACAGCAACGUUUGCAGAAACUCGAGGGUGAACACAGACAAGAAGUGGAAAAAGUAAAAGUACUUCAGGGGCAGGUUGAGCAGGAACAACAAAAGAGAAAUGUUCUUCAAACUGAUUUGGCACAACAAUCCUCGGAAGCUGGAAGGCUACGAGCUAGAGAACAACAAUUGAUUGGCGAAGUUACACAAUUAAGAGAAGCGAAACGACAAAUAGAGGAAGAAUUACAUCAUUUGAAGACUCAAAGAAACGUGGAUCAGCUACAGACUAAAGAGUUACAAGAACAAUUGGAAGCGGAAGCUUAUUUUUCGACCCUUUAUAAAACGCAAACUCAAGAAUUACGCGAAGAACUUGAAGAGAAGACGCGAUUGCAACAAGAAUUGGAGGAAGAACGUAGUUCUUUGGUUCAUCAGCUACAACUGUCUUUAACCAGAGGAGAUAGCGAAGCGUUGGCAAGAUCAAUAGCUGAAGAAACAGUGGCAGAUCUUGAAAAAGAACGUACCAUGAAGGAAUUAGAAUACAAAGAUGGAGUUGCCAAACAUCAUCAGGAAUUGAAUGCUAAAGAACAGAUUGUAAACAGACUUAAGGAUAGCGAGGCAGAAUUAAAAAAAUCUGUCGAACAAUAUAUCAAAGAGAAAGAAGACUUGAAUAAAAGGAUUAAAGAAUUGCAAGAACAACUCAAUAAAGCGCAAUCUAAUGCCGAAGAAAUUGAAAAACUCAGCAGUAAGCUCAAGACGGAGCAAUUGCUUAAACAACAAGCCGUCAACAAGUUGGCUGAAAUUAUGAAUAGAAAGGAUGUUUCUUCUACUGGAAAAAAUAAGAAUAAGGCAUCGGCUACGGAUCUGAGAAAGAAGGAAAAGGACUGCCGACGAUUUCAACAGGAACUUACUCAAGAACGGGAAAAGUAUGGACAAUUGGCAGCUAAAUGGCAAAAGGAUCUCCAGGAUUUACAAGCACAACUCGUCGAGGAAAAUCAAGCAAAGUUGAGGCUGCAAAUGGAGCUUGAUUCGAAGGACUCGGAGAUCGAAACGUUGCAAAUGAAAAUCGCAAGUGUCAAUUCAGAAACAGCAAGUGUUUCUUCCGUGGAAAAUGACGGAGAAGACUCCGUUUUAUCCGAGCAUGGUUCAAUGAGAUUAGAGGGCUGGUUAAACGUGCCAAACAAGCAAAAUAUUAAGAGGCAUGGUUGGAAGAAGCAAUAUGUGGUCGUUUCUUCUAAGAAAAUCAUUUUUUAUAAUAGCGAAAACGAUAAAAUGAAUGCAGAUCCAGUUUUGAUAUUAGACUUGAGUAAAGUAUUUCACGUUAGAUCUGUCACGCAAGGUGAUGUUAUCCGCGCCAAUGCCAAAGAUAUUCCUAGGAUUUUUCAGUUACUUUAUGCCGGCGAAGGCGAAGCUAGACGACCUGGCGACGAAGGGAACGCACUAUCUGGAAUAGAAUUACCACAACUUACGGACAAACCUGGUACGCAACAAUUAAAAGGCCAUGAAUUCGUUUCAAUAUCUUAUCACAUGCCGACCACGUGCGAAGUUUGUUCCAAACAACUUUGGCAUAUGUUUCGUCCGUCUCCAGCUCUGGAAUGUCGAAGAUGUCGCAUAAAAGUGCAUAAAGAACACUUGGAAAAGAAAGAAGAUGCCAUAGCACCGUGUAAACUACAUUACGAUCCAAACAGUGCACGAGAAUUGUUGGUCCUUGCCGGAAGUCCAGAAGAACAAAAAUAUUGGGUCUCCAGAUUAUCUAGGCGCAUUCAAAAGUGCGGUUAUAAAGCGAAUUCACAUGUCGAUGGGACAGGACAACGUGUCUCGCCAAGGUAGCGUAGCCGUGCAGCACAACGUAGCCAGGGACUAAAUAGCUCUCGUGUAUUGUGGCAUCGCAUGAUCGGGUGUAGAGAGGGAAUCGACCAGAUCGACGUUAAAGCCAUAUUUAUCGGUGCAACAGCGCUCAGCGACUUUGCCAGCGAAUGCCAGUAUGGGCAAGUGACCUUAGCUCGCGUUGAAAAUAUCUUCGGUCGUCAGUGCGCUUGAUUGUUAUCAUUUAGUCCUUCUCUAUUAAGGUUCGACUUAGUAAACGCGUCGCGUCGGUUGAUUUUCAUUGUUCACCCGAUGAUUCUUUAAGUUCAUUCUCACAUACAUUUUCCAGAAGCCGUGUUUUCAGAGUCUACCCACUUGUAGUACCGUGUGUUGUCGGAUUUACGAUCCAAAUACACUGUUAACAAAUACCAUAUUAGUGGAAAAGAAGGAGCAAAAAAUGACUAACGACUGCGAUAGGCCGAUUUCAUUUCUCGGCGAUUAGCAAUGUAAGAAAUUCCAAUCAAGUCCCAGAGCUGUAUGGAAAAAACAGGGUUAACUAGAUAUACCACGUGGAAAGAGAUGGUUUUUCGGAAUAUACGUACAAUCAAGGAAAAAAGAAAUGGAAAAGGAUAAGAGAAGAAUGACGGUAAUCGUUAUUUAUAACAGGUCGAGGAAUAAUGCUUAUCUGAAAACAAUCUGCGAUAAAGAAAUCAAAGUGACGUACGAACGUAUGCAGCCUUCCUCGUAUUCGUUUGACUAAAUUUAUUGUAUUAUGGCAAAUGACUUUAUUCAUUCGCCACGCGAGAUACUCGAUUUGUUGAAACUCUAUUACGUUAUUAGUGUCGUCCCUUGUGAAAAGGCAUAUCGCAUAUUCAUUGUAGUUUGUAUAUGAAUGCUUAAAUCGAAUGUUCUUUGUACAUACACUUGUCGGCACCAUAUCCAAGGGAUAGAGCGGCUCGGUGCUUCUUUAUUUUUUCGUUUCUUAUCCUCUUAAAGCGUAGAAUCAAGCUGGAUAUUGAGCAUUAUUUGCUCGGAAGACUAACGAGUUUAUCACAGGAUAUUUAUAGUAUUAUUAAAAUUUUAUAUUUUUUCGAAAGUAAAAUAUUUAAAUUCUUACAUCGAACUAACAUAGAGGCAAGUUUUCACUUGCUCGAAUCAUCGAAAACAGCUGCCAAAGUUUUGUUUGUUUGUUUUUUUUUCUUCUACUUUAACGCGAGAUACGAACAGUCAGGAAAGAGACAUGUUAAAAGUUAAAAGCGAAAGUAUAGUUAAACUAAAAAAAAAAAACAAAAAAGAAAGAAAGAAAAGAGAAAAGAAAAUUAUCAAAACCAGCACAACGAUAAGUGCUAAGAUAAGUUAAAGCUAUGAGCGAGCUUCGUUGUACAGUAGAUGUAAUAUUUACAGUUAUGACCUACGAAAGUUUUAAAAUAUAAUAUACGAAUGUUCGCGCGAUACUUUUUGGAUUGAAAAAAAAAAAAAAAGAAAAGAAAGAAACAUGCAUAAUCUCGAGAGAGAGGCUUAGGAUUCUAUCGUGCGUGCCCUGCGUUAGAGUAGAACGUGGCACCUAACGACAAAAAUUAGUACAUAUAAAAAAAAAAAAGCGUACGAGUAUUAACGCGUUGUCGCCGCUUGUGUUCUUAUAAAAGGUACUCUCUGCGAUGCAUUCACUUUACGUUUCACGUAAUGAAGCGCGAUAAAAGAAAACAUGAUCGUUUGCGUGCGACUCGACGCGUCUCGCCCUUUCUUUUCUAUAGAUCCUCGUGUUUCUCUUUCACGCGAGAUUGACAUGGUGCUCCCUCUCCUAUUCUCUGGAUCGAUUUGGAACAGAAAGAACGUGGAGCUUCCAAAACAAAACGAAAACAAAAAAAAAAAAAACCAAACAAGGAAAUGGAAUUUUCUUUUUCUUUUGAUACUCGCGCAACGUGAAUUUAGAUGAACGAAAAGCGAAGAAUUUCAGCGGAAAGGAACACCAUCCAACUUAAUACCCUGUGCCUUCUUCCCGCUUUCGGUCUCGGGCGUGUAAUAAUCCUUCGCGAGUUGCGGAGAUCGAAGGAGAAUCGAUGAUACUGCGAAAAAAGAGAAGAGAGAAAAAUGCGGAAAGAUGCGGAAGAGAACUUGUUACAGCAUAUUUUAUUAUUGUUUAGUUAUUUACAAUCUGUAUAUUAUUAAUUAAUAUUACGAUUAAAAGUAUUUUGUAGAUAAUA